GCUUGUUCUUGUUGACGGACUUGUUGCUCUAAAGGGUGCAACUGUCCAUGUUUUGCCCGUGAUAAGAGCUCCAAUAAAUCAUUUUGAGGCCCUUGAUGUGGCAUUUGACCAAACUUUGCUUGAAUGAGAUGCUCAAUAGAUGGUUCAGCAUGUCUUGGUGGAAGAUGUGGACGCUGUUGCAGUUCACUCAGAAUUUGUUGCUCUAUCAACACCUGCUCCAGAGCACUGCUAUGCCUAAUAGCAUCAAGACGUGAUUGUGUGUGACUUGGAUCAUGUACUUGUCUCUGCAAUAAUUGUUCAAGAACCAGCUGCCUAGCAUGAGACUCUUGUUCUUUCAUUAGCAUUUGCUGUUGAUGGAACUGUUGCUGUUGCUGCAGUUGUUGAAGCUGCAGCAACUGUCUCUGCUGUUGCAGCUGAAGCACCAUAAAGUGUUCUAGAUCCUGCCCAGCCUGACUCGCCAACUGUGGUUGGUGCAUUAAAU
rnacentral:misc_RNA from 1 species